rnacentral:rRNA from 1 species
UACAGAGGUCUCAAGCGUUGUUCGGAUUCAUUGGGCGUAAAGGGUGCGUAGGCGGCGCGGUAAGUCGGGUGUGAAAUUUCGGAGCUUAACUCCGAAACUGCAUUCGAUAUUGGCGUGCUUGAGGACUGGAGAGGAGACUGGAAUUCAUGGUGUAGCAGUGAAAUGCGUAGAGAUCAUGAGGAAGACCAGUGGCGAAGGCGGGUCUCUGGACCGUAACUGACGCUGAGACACGAAAGCGUGGGUAGCAAACAGG